AGUGAACGCUGGCGGUAGGCCUAAUACAUGCAAGUCGAACGGCAGCACAGUAAGAGCUUGCUCUUACGGGUGGCGAGUGGCGGACGGGUGAGGAAUACAUCGGAAUCUACUUUUUCGUGGGGGAUAACGUAGGGAAACUUACGCUAAUACCGCAUACGACCUACGGGUGAAAGCAGGGGAUCUUCGGACCUUGCGCGAUUGAAUGAGCCGAUGUCGGAUUAGCUAGUUGGCGGGGUAAAGGCCCACCAAGGCGACGAUCCGUAGCUGGUCUGAGAGGAUGAUCAGCCACACUGUAACUGAGACACGGUCCAGACUCCUACGGGAGGCAGCAGUGGGGAAUAUUGGACAAUGGGCGCAAGCCUGAUCCAGCCAUACCGCGUGGGUGAAGAAGGCCUUCGGGUUGUAAAGCCCUUUUGUUGGGAAAGAAAAGCAGCAGGUUAAUACCCCGCUGUUCUGACGGUACCCAAAGAAUAAGCACCGGCUAACUUCGUG
rnacentral:rRNA from 1 species